UGGGGAAUAUUGCGCAAUGGGCGAAAGCCUGACGCAGCGACGCCGCGUGGAGGAUGAAGGUCUUCGGAUUGUAAACUUCUGUUAAGUGAGAAAAAAGCUCUAUACCUAAUACGUAUAGAGGAUGAUUGUACCAUUAGAGAAAGCACCGGCUAACUUCGUGCCAGCAGCCGCGGUAAUACGAAGGGUGCAAGCGUUAUUCGGAUUUAUUGGGCGUAAAGGGUGUGUAGGCGGUACACUAAGUCUAUUGUUAAAUGCUCCGGCCUAACCGGAGACAUGCGGUGGAAACUGGUGUGCUAGAGGAUGGAAGAGAGAAGUGGAAUUCUCGGAGUAGCGGUAAAAUGCGUAGAUCUCGAGAGGAACACCAAUGGCGAAGGCAGCUUCUUGGUCCAUAUCUGACGCUGAAACACGAAAGCGUGGGGAGCAAACAGGAUUAGAUACCCCCGUAGUCC
rnacentral:rRNA from 1 species